rnacentral:rRNA from 1 species
UACGUAGGGUGCAAGCGUUAAUCGGAAUUACUGGGCGUAAAGCGUGCGCAGGCGGUUUUGUAAGUCAGAUGUGAAAUCCCCGGGCUUAACCUGGGAACUGCGUUUGAAACUACAAGGCUAGAGUGUGGCAGAGGGGGGUGGAAUUCCACGUGUAGCAGUGAAAUGCGUAGAGAUGCGGCGGAACACCGAUGGCGAAGGCAGCCCCCCUGGGCUGAGAUUGACGCUCAGGCACGAAAGCGUGGGGAGCAAACAGG